GGAUGUCCAUUUAAAUCUGAAUUUGAGAUAAAUAAUACACAAUUAUUUUGUGUAAGUAUGCCCCAUUCAGUAUUUGGGAGAUACUUAUACUAAAAAAUCAUUGUUUAUCUGAAAUUCAAAUUUAACUGGA
rnacentral:miRNA from 10 species